AUUGAACGCUGGCGGCAGGCCUAACACAUGCAAGUCGAGCGGCAGCGGGAAAGUAGCUUGCUACUUUUGCCGGCGAGCGGCGGACGGGUGAGUAAUGCCUGGGGAUCUGCCCAGUCGAGGGGGAUAACUACUGGAAACGGUAGCUAAUACCGCAUACGCCCUACGGGGGAAAGCAGGGGACCUUCGGGCCUUGCGCGAUUGGAUGAACCCAGGUGGGAUUAGCUAGUUGGUGAGGUAAUGGCUCACCAAGGCGACGAUCCCUAGCUGGUCUGAGAGGAUGAUCAGCCACACUGGAACUGAGACACGGUCCAGACUCCUACGGGAGGCAGCAGUGGGGAAUAUUGCACAAUGGGGGAAACCCUGAUGCAGCCAUGCCGCGUGUGUGAAGAAGGCCUUCGGGUUGUAAAGCACUUUCAGCGAGGAGGAAAGGUUGGUAGCUAAUACCUCGGGAGGAUGACGGUACCUGAAGAAUAAGCACCGGCUAACUACGUGCCAGCAGCCGCCGUAAAAC
rnacentral:rRNA from 1 species